AUAUUGGACAAUGGGCGCAAGCCUGAUCCAGCCAUGCCGCGUGAGUGAUGAAGGCCCUAGGGUUGUAAAGCUCUUUCACCGGUGAAGAUAAUGACGGUAACCGGAGAAGAAGCCCCGGCUAACUUCGUGCCAGCAGCCGCGGUAAUACGAAGGGGGCUAGCGUUGUUCGGAAUUACUGGGCGUAAAGCGCACGUAGGCGGGUAUUUAAGUCAGGGGUGAAAUCCCGGAGCUCAACUCCGGAACUGCCUUUGAUACUGGGUACCUAGAGUAUGGAAGAGGUAAGUGGAAUUCCGAGUGUAGAGGUGAAAUUCGUAGAUACUCGGAGGAACACCAGUGGCGAAGGCGGCUCACUGGACCAUUACUGACGCUGAGGUGCGAAAGCGUGGGGAGCAAACAGGAUUAGAUAC
rnacentral:rRNA from 1 species